AGCAGCCGCGGUAAUUCCAGCUCCAAUAGCGUAUAUUAAAGUUGCUGCAGUUAAAAAGCUCGUAGUUGAAUUUCGGGACUAAUAUGUCGGUCGUGCCUCGGUACGUACUGGUUUAUUGGUUUCUCCUUUCUGAAGAACCAUGAUGUCAUUUAUUUGGUGUCGUGGGGAAUCAGGACUGUUACUUUGAAAAAAUUAGAGUGUUUAAAGCAGGCUCACGCUUGAAUACAUUAGCAUGGAAUAAUGAAAUAGGACGUUUGAUUCUAUUUUGUUGGUUUCUAGGAUCGACGUAAUGAUUAAUAGGGAUAGUUGGGGGCAUUAGUAUUCAAUUGUCAGAGGUGAAAUUCUUGGAUUUAUUGAAGACUAACUACUGCGAAAGCAUUUGCCAAGGAUGUUUUCAUUAAUCAAGAACGAAAGUUAGGGGAUCGGAGACGAUCAGAUACCGUCGUAGUCUUAACCAUAAACUAUGCCGACUAGGGAUCGGAUGAUGUUAAUUUUUAAUGACUCAUUCGGCGCCUUACGG
rnacentral:rRNA from 1 species